rnacentral:rRNA from 1 species
GACGAACGCUGGCGGCGCGCUUAACACAUGCAAGUCGAACGGAAAGGCCUGCUUUCCCUUGUGGAUUGCGGGUACUCGCGUGGCGAACGGGUGAGUAACACGUGAGUGAUCUGCCCCCAACUUGGGUAUAAGCCUGGGAAACUGGGUCUAAUUCCCGAUAGGACUGCAGGGUGGUGCCUGUGGUGGAAAACGAUUUUCUAGUGGUUGGGGAUGAGCUCGCGGCCUAUCAGCUUGUGGGUGGGGUAAUGGCCUACCGAGGCGGCGACGGGUAGCCGGCCUGGGAGGGUGGACGGCCACAUUUGGACUGAGAUACGGCCCAGACGCCUACGGGAGGCAGCAGUGGGGAAGAUGGCACGAUGGGCGGAAGCCUGAUGCAGCGACGCCGCGUGGGGGAUGACGGCCUUCGGGUUGUGAACUCCUUUCGACCGCGAGGAAGCCACCUGGUUGGAAGGGUGGUGACGGUAGUGGUAGAAGAAGCACCGGCUAACUACGUG